rnacentral:rRNA from 1 species
AGCGAACGUUAGCGGCGCGCUUAACACAUGCAAGUCGCACGAGAAAGGGAGCAAUCCCCGGUAAAGUGGCGCACGGGUGAGUAACACGUGAAUUACCUUCCCAGAAGUGGUGGAUAACCUGCCGAAAGGCGGGCUAAUACAGCGUAAGACCACGCAGUUUCGACUGUGAGGUAAAAGCGGGCAUAGGUCUACAGGCUCGCGCUUCUGGAUGGGUUCGCGGUCCAUCAGCUAGUUGGUGAGGUAACGGCUCACCAAGGCAACGACGGAUAGCUGGUCUGAGAGGAUGAUCAGCCACACUGGAACUGAGACACGGUCCAGACUCCUACGGGAGGCAGCAGUGGGGAAUCUUGCGCAAUGGGCGAAAGCCUGACGCAGCGACGCCGCGUGAGUGACGAAGGCCUUUGGGUUGUAAGCUCUGUGGGGAAGAACGAACUGGCACCUGGCGAACACCUGGGUGUCUUGACGGUACUUCUUUAGCAAGCACCGGCUA